GAUCUGGUUCAGGACGAACGCUGGCGGCGUGCCUAACACAUGCAAGUCGAACGGAGUUAAACGCUGAAUUGAAGAUAGCUUGCUAUUGGAUUUCUUGUUAACUUAGUGGCGGACGGGUGAGUAACGCGUGAGCAACCUGCCUUUCAGAGGGGGAUAACGGCUGGAAACGGUCGCUAAUACCGCAUAACGUAUAUUUAAGGCAUCUUAGAUAUACCAAAGCUGAGGCGCUGAAAGAUGGGCUCGCGUCCGAUUAGAUAGUUGGUGAGGUAACGGCUCACCAAGUCGACGAUCGGUAGCCGGACUGAGAGGUUGAACGGCCACAUUGGGACUGAGACACGGCCCAGACUCCUACGGGAGGCAGCAGUGGGGGAUAUUGCACAAUGGGCGCAAGCCUGAUGCAAGCAACGCCGCGUGAAUGAAGACGGUCUUCGGAUUGUAAAGUUCUGUUCUUAGUGAAGAUAAUGACGGUAACUAAGGAGCAAGCCACGGCUAACUACGUGCCAGCAGCCGC
rnacentral:rRNA from 1 species